GUGCCAGCCGCCGCGGUAAUACGAAGGUGGCAAGCGUUACUCGGAAUUACUAGGCGUAAAGGGCAGGUAGGUGGUUCGGUAAGUCUGUUGUGUAAGCUCCCGGCUUAACUGGGAGAGGUCAACGGAAACUACCGGACUUGAGUAUAGGAGAGGUUACUGGAAUUCCCGGUGUAGCGGUGAAAUGCGCAGAGAUCGGGAGGAACACCAAUGGCGAAAGCAGGUAACUGGACUAUUACUGACACUCAGCUGCGAAAGCUAGGGGAGCAAACAGGAUUAGAUACCCCCGUAGUCC
rnacentral:rRNA from 1 species